GAACAUUUAGAAGGAUUAUUGAAUAGACAGUUCAUAUUUACCUAGAUUUCACAUUUUUAAGCAGUUCCUUAAAUUUCUUCCCAUCUGACUUGAAGGGGACAUGGCUUCAGUUUAUUCUCCUGGAGGUGUUCAUAAUCUCUGAGAACACCUCUACUUUUUUCCUUCUGGCAAUAUUUCCUUGUACUGGACAGAAAUGAACACUGGGAAGACAGAUUAUCAGAGGAAGGUGACUAGGAUAUUCUACUCCAAACAACUACUCCUCCAUCAGACCACUGUCGGCCCAGGACUUUUGAACCUUAUGAAAGACAUUUUUGAGGUUUAGAAUCCAAGAUUAUUUAUAUAAAACCAAAUUCUACAGGGCUAGCUCAAGGAGAUCUAUGAAUACUCAGAAGAAUUCAUUCAAUAAUCUUUGCUAACAGAAAAAAGAAAGGUCUGGGAAUGUCAUCUUUUAAGGAGACUUUCUCUGCUAUAUUUCCAUCUACUGAUUUUCCCACUGAGUUGUUACUUUCAAAUGCUGUGAAGAAUGGAACUCAUUGUAUGUAUAUGUGUAUACAUACAUGUAUGUAUAGACAUUUUCCACUGAACUUCAGGUAACAAUUGUCUGUCAUCCCUAAGAAAACUG
rnacentral:lncRNA from 1 species